rnacentral:rRNA from 1 species
GCUGAGCACUCCUACGGGAGGCAGCAGUGGGGAAUAUUGCACAAUGGGCGCAAGCCUGAUGCAGCCAUGCCGCGUGUAUGAAGAAGGCCUUCGGGUUGUAAAGUACUUUCAGCAGUGAGGAAGGUGGGUAUGUUAAUAGCAUAUUCAUUUGACGUUAGCUGCAGAAGAAGCACCGGCUAACUCCGUGCCAGCAGCCGCGGUAAUACGGAGGGUGCGAGCGUUAAUCGGAAUUACUGGGCGUAAAGCGCAUGCAGGUGGUUUGUUAAGUCAGAUGUGAAAGCCCGGGGCUCAACCUCGGAAUUGCAUUUAGAAACUGGACAAACUAGAGUACUGUAGAGGGGGUAGAAUUUCAGGUGUAGCGGUGAAAUGCGUAGAGAUCUGAAGGAAUACCGGUGGCGAAGGCGGCCCCCUGGACAGAUACUGACACUCAGAUGCGAAAGCGUGGGGAGCAAACAGGAUUAGAUACCCUGGUAA